AUGGUCAGCGAAGAGCAAAGUGCGGCGUGUGGAUGGAUCGAGAUCGAUCAAUGGCGAUGGAUGCAUGCAUGGUGGAGUGGAUUACGUACUUCGGAAGAGGUGGUUCUCGAGGCUGCCCUUGGGCAUGAACUCGUAGACGAGGAGGAGGUCGCGGUCGUCGCCGUCGCCGCAGUAGCCCAGCAGCCUCACCAGGUUCGGGUGCUGCAGCCGCCCCAGGAAGUUCACCUCCGACUGCGCUUGCCAUACACAAAAAAACGAGUUGCCACGUUAGCACAACACGCCGGUGAGGUUUUCAAUUUCAGUGAAAUUCCAAUCAGAUUCACUGAAUUUAAUAAUUUCAGUAGACACUCAAAUAUUUACCUUUUGACCCAAAUAUUUCAGCAAUUUCACUAG
rnacentral:rRNA from 1 species